CCGCAAGGGGAGGAGGGGAGGACGGGGGAGCCGGCACAGGCAGCAGGAACCAGCAGAGCCCACAGCCCUUGAUCGAAGAUGAUCCCGUUUCCGGUCUGGCCCCAGCCCUUGGCAGGCCCGGGAGUGGAGCUUCCCUCCAAGAGCGUUUGAGAUGGACUUCUGUUAUUGACAACCCAGAGGUUCCUGACUAACGCAUCAUUCAUUUGUCAAACACUGUGCUCCUGCUCUAUGCCAGACUACACAGGAUGGUGGAAUCCGAGGAUGACUGCGACACAGCUCCUGCCUUCAAGGAGCUUGGAGUCUCCUAAGCCUUGUCCAAAUGCUGCUCCUCUGUGACUACUUGGCCAGCUCCCACAGACAGUGAGCCCCCUUCUCCCCUCUGCUUCCCAGCACUAGGUUCACACUAUUCAUUCAAUGAAUAUUGCCAGGAGUGGUGGCUUAUGCCUGUAAUUCCAAGACUUUGGGAGACUGAGGCAAGUGGAUCACUUGUGGCCAGGAGUUUGAGACCAGCCUGAGCAACACAGGGAGACCCCACUUCUACAAAGAAAUAAAAACAUUAGGUGAUGUGGUGUUCACACCUGUAAUCUCAGCUACUCAGGAGGCUGAGGCAGGAGGAUCCCUUGAACCCAGGAGGUUGAAGCUGCAGGGAGCUAUGGUUGCACCACCAGCCUGGGCGAGAGUGAAGUUCAUUGGUUACCUACUUCAGGCCAGGCUCCAUGUUCCUCCUAUUGUAGAAUUGUCCCAGACUGUGUCUGCCUCUGCCUCUUAGACUGUAUGUUCUUGGAUAAUGGGCACCAUGCUGGUGAAUCCCCAGUGCCUAAGGCUGCGCCUAACGUGUGCUAAUUGCUUGUGUUUAUUGAAUGAAUGAAAGAAUGUGGAUUUCUGUGUGUGUUUAUGUGUGUUGGGAUGAGGGAGUGGACAACCAAAGAGAAGGACAAUAUGACAUAGCACCCAUAGCAGAGGAGAGGGUCCUGGAAGUUUCUAGAUCCAGCCAGGGCUCAGCCAGAAAAGCCAGCACACGGCUCUGAUCAAUUGAAUAAGAGCAGAUGUCUCCCUGCAGAUAGAUGCCUUCCCCACAUUUGCAACACAGGCGUCCCUGUCUCAGCACCAGUCCUGAAGAGCUGUCUCUGGAAGUUUUUCCCUUCUCCAAACCCCACCCAUAGUGUCCCGCCUGGCCACUACAUGGAUUCGUGUGAGGGCUCAAUGUAGCCUCUCCCUCUCAGGCUGACGGGGCCCAUUCUUCACACACAGCACUCGCUCACCAACAUGGGCUGGGGCCUCCUCAGAGCCGUGGAGGCAGGGAGUCACGGACUGACAGCCGGGCCUCAGAUGCAGGCUGGAAGGGACGGAGACAGCUGGCUCUAGCCUCUCUGCACAGAUUCUGCAGCACCCAAAGCCUCACCUUCUGAUCAUCCUGACCUGGGGGUGCCACCUCGGAGGAAACUGGUCCAUAGUUGAUCGUCCAGCUCUCCCACCUACAGAGGACAUUCUUUUCUCUCCCUCUGGCAGCAAUCCCCCAAGCUAAUUCUCCUAGUAACACCCUGUCUUCCACUGUCCCCAGUCCUCUGAGUGUGGCUGGGCACCAGUGGUCUGGGUCUCCUCCCCGAUAGAGACCAUCCUCUCUGGGCAGCAAGGCCCCACUGCUAUCUGCAGGGUUUCCUCCCUCCUCCCUGCCUUCUCCGCCUUCUCCACCUUCUCCUGUCUCCCUGUCUCUGCCUUUCUCUCCUCUCUUUUAUUCUUCCUUGAGCCCUCUUCCUUUGCAUUUCCUCUUGACUCUCCCCUUAGUCUGUCUUUAGCUGCUUCUUUCCAUCCCAUCCUCUUUCUCUCUGAUUCCUUCUCCAGACACCCUUCCUUCUUGGUUCUCUUCAUUGUGCUCCUCUCCUCCUUUUUCUUUCCCUUUCUCUCUUCCCAUCCCUCCUCCACUCCUCUCCCUUCUCCUCAUCUGUUUCUCCAGCUCUCCCAUCCUCCCACUGGGUCCAUCCUCCCAGUCCUGUCUGCAG
rnacentral:lncRNA from 1 species